UUGUUGGUAAAUGACACUAAGUGAAUGG
rnacentral:piRNA from 1 species